CUGCGCCACUAGUGGUGGUCGCGUUUAUUGGGCCUAAAGCGUCCGUAGCCGGAUUAGUAACUCUUUUGUGAAAUUGUUGGUCUUAAGCUAACAACGUGCAGGAGAAACUGCUAAUCUAGGGACCGGAGAGAAGUCAGAAGUAUGCCAGGGGGAGCGGUAAAAUGCUAUAAUCCUUGGUAGACUACCAGUGGCGAAGGCGUCUGACUAGAACGGAUCUGACGGUGAGGGACGAAAGCCAGGGGAGCAAUCCGGAUUAGAUACCCGAGUAGUCC
rnacentral:rRNA from 1 species